rnacentral:rRNA from 1 species
GAUGAACGCUAGCUGGAGGCUUAAUACAUGCAAGUCGAGCGGGAUUGGGUAGCAAUACCCAUGAGAGCGGCCCACGGGUGAGUAACGCGUACACGACCUACCUCUAACAGGGGGAUAGCCCUGGGAAACUGGGAUUAAUACCGCAUAUAAUUCUGAAUAAUAAAGGUUUGGAACGAAAGCUGAGGCGGUUAGAGAUGGGUGUGCGUCUGAUUAGCUAGUUGGUAGGGUAACGGCCUACCAAGGCGAUGAUCAGUAGGGGGCGUGAGAGCGUGGUCCCCCACACGGGUACUGAGACACGGACCCGACUCCUACGGGAGGCAGCAGUAAGGAAUAUUGCUCAAUGGGCGAAAGCCUGAACCAGCCAUCCAGCGUGCAGGAAGAAGGCCCUAUGGGUUGUAAACUGCUUUUAUCAGGGAAGAAACCUCUGGAUUUACUCCGGAGCUGACGGUACCUGAAGAAUAAGCACCGGCUAACUCCGUGCCAGCAGCCGCGGUAAUAC